GAGAGAUGGGCAUUUAUUUUCUACGAUUCCUGUACCUGAUUCAGUCCUCUGUCGAUUUCUAGCAAUCCUUCGUUCAUUGAGUACGUAAGUCAUCCUUGCAUGCUGGAAAUUUAACGAGGAUCAAGACGCGAUUCAUCUGUCACUGCUUCACAUAGAGAGGUUAAAUACUCAAAAUCAUAAGACUAUGAGGAGGAGCUGCGGCAGGGUCAAGGAGCUGGAGUAGCUAGAAGGGGGCAUAAAACGUGGCAGUCAAUAGGAGGUCCAGGGUUCUGGGAAAGAGUGGGUCUAUUUUGAGAAGUGAGGAGAUGCUACAAGUUCCCAGACCGUAGUGAGCCGUGGACACGUGUGAGACAAGCAUGUGGACCUUAUAGGUGGAGGCCAACGCACGUUACGUGGCACGUGAAAUAACAGGAUGGUGCUGGAGGAGGAGGCUGGGUCAGAGAAGCAUUGUGGUCUUGUAUUUUCAGUGGGAGGGCAUGGGUAGGCAUAGAGGAGACGGCCAUGGAGAGGCUGAGUUAAACAAUAUGGCAGAAGGGCGUCGCUGUGGUUCAGUUGGUUGAGCGUCCACCUCUUGAUUUCGGCUCAGAUCACAAUCUCACAGUCGUGGGAUCGAGUCUCACGUUGGGCUCUGCACUGAGCGUGAAGCCUGCUUAAGAUUCUCUCUCUCUUCAAAUAAAAAUGAAAUGGCAGAGAGGAAUAAAUGGAGAGACUGAAGCCUCAAGAGGCUGUUCUGUCAAAAGACACAAGUUACAAGGGUUACAAGUCCACCCGGUGCUGUCAGUGAGGAGCCCAAGGCAGGCCCCGAACCCACGAACCACGAGAUCAUGACCUGAGCUGAAACCAAGAGUUAAUCACUUAACCGCCUGAGCCACCCAGGCACCUCAGGCCAAAGCUUUAGUACAGUUCUCCCAAGCAGUGGAAGAAAGCCUCGAUGGAGUUUGAGUAUAAUCACCAUCUAAGACAAAAGGCAGCCGAUUUUGUCUUUCUCCUUGCUCAUCACGAGUGCCUUCUCGCAGAACUUCUAAAACACCACAGAUGACUUUUAUUCAUGUUUGCAGAGUCUCUUUGAAAUGGGUUUGUUUAAAAACUGCAAGAUAUUAAAGAGUUAGCCCUAUGCCUUUUAAAACCGAAACUGCGUCAGGAGCACCCAAACGACACACAUUUAACACACCUGCCCGUGGCUUAAAGAAAAAAUUCAUUCCAAGCAAAUGCUGAACACCCGCUGUUCAUAAAGCUUGCACGAACGCUGUGGAGGAGAAAAACCUUCAAGGCGUGAGGACGCUAUCAGGGAGUGAUUCUUCUAGUUGAGAAGAAAAUUCCUACACAUGUUUAUGAAACAGAUGAAUGGUUCUAAGACCAAAAAUAAUAAUCCGUAGGCAUAUGUGUGUAUAGACCUCUAUUACACGUAUAUUACAUAUAUAUGUAUUCUUAACCAUUUUUCCUCCCUGAUCCUGUUCCUGAAUACUCAGAUCGUUGUAGGCUGGGUGAGUGGGGGAAGGCUUUUUGAAGUAGGUAAGUUGUUCUUUGUGUUGAAGGGAGUGCAGAAUUUAGGUUGGCGGGAAGGAAAAUAAAGCUCAAGAAUGGGGAAGAGCCCAUGGGCGAGAAGCACAGGGUACAAGGAACAGAGAGGGAGAAGUGAGAGCCAGUUCAUGAAGAGCCUUGACUUGCUGGAAUAAAGGUUUGAAGUUUGAUUUGGUAAGUGUGUAAAAGCUGUAGUGAGGUCUUUCUUCCUCUGUUGAUUCGCCCAGCUUUUUAUUCAUUAACUUGGACAUUGAUUUAUCAGCUCGGCAAAUAUUUAUUAAGCACCUAGGAUAGAUCAAGCUCUCUCUUACAGGCCUGGAGCGGUGGUCCUCAACCAGGGGCCCUGGUUUCUCUCCCCCCAGGAGGCCACGGGCAAUGUCUGGAGAUGGUUUUAGUUGUCACACUGGGGAUGGGGUGCUACUUGCAUUUAGGGAGUGGGGGUCAGGGAUGAUUCCCACAACAAGGAAUUUUCCAGCCCCGGAUGUCAAUGGUGCUGCUGUUGAGAAACCCUGGGCUAGAAGGUACAAAUGUCAGAGAUAAAGUCCUUGCCCUCUAGGGUUACGAGGGGGAGGGGACACCGUAAACUAAUAAUUCCAGCACACUAAGGUCCACAGUGAAAAGAGUACUGGGUUAUUUUGAAAGGGCAGGACACUAUGCCAUCAAUUCUGUGUGGGGUUGGAAAGAUUUCUGGAAGAAAGUCACAUUGGAGAUGAACCUUCAAAGAUGAGUACAAGAUUUUAUUUCCGCAUCUGGGCUCUGUUCUAAAUCCUGGGAGGAUUUUCCCCCAUGAAUUUAACAUGACUGACGAAGCCUGCUCCAGGGGCUCCGCUGCUGCAUAUGGCCAGGAGAGCGUGCGAGUGAGCGGUACAGGGUGGAGGAGAGCGACAAGGCUACCAUUUGUAAGCUUCUUCAAGGGCCGUUCCUACACGUGUGGAACGAUGCUCACGCGCGCUGGGCAGGUACGGCCCUUAGAGUCAAGGCAGCACCUUCCGGAAUGGUACUCAGGUUAUCUAUUCGAGUCCAGCUCCCUACCGUGUCUGACCAUGGCCUUCCUGGGUUUUAGGUAUUCUAUAAGCUCUACCAAAGCAAGUGUAACCUCCACAAAUGAACCAGUUACACUGGAAAAGGAAACUGGAAGCAGAAUUAUAAACCUCAGUGCCUCCUCUUUCCCCUCUCUGUAGGAGAACGCGUAAGGUGUCCGUACGUAAGGUAUAGAACAUAGUAUCUAGUCUGGGGGAGCCAUGACCUCCCCUCACCUGGGUUUGGUUCCAGACCACUGCACAAGAAAGGGAAUAUCACAAUCAA